rnacentral:rRNA from 1 species
AUUGAACGCUGGCGGCAUGCCUUACACAUGCAAGUCGAACGGCGGCACGGGAGCAAUCCUGGUGGCGAGUGGCGAACGGGUGAGUAAUAUAUCGGAACGUGCCCAGUAGUGGGGGAUGACUGCUCGAAAGAGCAGCUAAUACCGCAUACGACCUGAGGGUGAAAGGGGGGGAUCGCAAGACCUCUCGCUAUUGGAGCGGCUGAUAUCAGAUUAGCUAGUUGGUGGGGUAAAGGCCUACCAAGGCAACGAUCUGUAGUUGGUCUGAGAGGACGACCAGCCACACUGGGACUGAGACACGGCCCAGACUCCUACGGGAGGCAGCAGUGGGGAAUUUUGGACAAUGGGCGCAAGCCUGAUCCAGCAAUGCCGCGUGCAGGAAGAAGGCCUUCGGGUUGUAAACUGCUUUUGUCAGGGAAGAAAUCCUCUAGGUUAAUACCCUUGGGGGGAUGACGGUACCUGAAGAAUAAGCACCGGCUAACUACGUGCCAGCCGCCGCCGUAACAC